rnacentral:sRNA from 1 species
ACAGGGCUGUGGUAUACUCUAGGAGUAUUCUAAAAUGUACGAAAUGUCUCACAUUUUUUGUAAGUCAUUCACAUUGUUGAAGAUUUACAAAAAAUGUGAGUUUUUUUUACGCGGCGGAUACAAUUUAAUUUAAUGGAGGUACCUGUUUAUGAAUAACGGUACAGUAAAAUGGUUUAACGCAGAUAAAGGCUAUGGCUUUAUUUCCAACGAUGAUGGCGGCGAGGAUGUUUUCGUGCAUUUCUCCGCUAUCCAGUCUGACGGUUAUAAAUCAUUGGAAGAAGGCCAGAAAGUAGUUUACGAUACUGAAACGGAUUCCCGCAACGGAAAGCUGCGCGCGUCAAACGUACGUAUCGCAUAAACCUCCGUUCCGCCCUAUAUGGGCGGUUCUUUUC